GACGAACGCUGGCGGCGUGCUUAACACAUGCAAGUCGAACGGAAAGGCCCUGCUUUUGUGGGGUGCUCGAGUGGCGAACGUGUGAGUAACACGUGAGUAACCUUCCCUUUACUUUGGGAUAACUUCAGGAAACUGGGGCUAAUACCGGAUAGGAGCUCCUGCUGCAUGGUGGGGUUUGGAAAGUUUCGGCGGUUGUGGAUGGACUCGCGGCUUAUCAGCUUGUUGGUGGGGUAGUGGCUUACCAAGGCUUUGACGGGUAGCCGGCCUGAGAGGGUGACCGGCCACAUUGGGACUGAGAUACGGCCCAGACUCCUACGGGAGGCAGCAGUGGGGAAUAUUGCACAAUGGGCGGAAGCCUGAUGCAGCAACGCCGCGUGCGGGAUGACGGCCUUCGGGUUGUAAACCGCUUUCGCCUGUGACGAAGCGUGAGUGACGGUAAUGGGUAAAGAAGCACCGGCUAACUACGUG
rnacentral:rRNA from 1 species